rnacentral:rRNA from 1 species
UACGUAGGGUGCAGGCGUUGUCCGGAAUUAUUGGGCGUAAAGAGCUCGUAGGCGGUCUGUCGCGUCUGCUGUGAAAACUCAGGGCUUAACCCUGAGCUUGCAGUGGGUACGGGCAGACUAGAGUGCGGUAGGGGAGACUGGAAUUCCUGGUGUAGCGGUGAAAUGCGCAGAUAUCAGGAGGAACACCGGUGGCGAAGGCGGGUCUCUGGGCCGUAACUGACGCUGAGGAGCGAAAGCAUGGGGAGCGAACAGG